rnacentral:rRNA from 1 species
AACGUAGGUCCCGAGCGUUAUCCGGAUUUACUGGGCGUAAAGCGUGUUCAGGCGGUCUAGCAAGUCGGGCAUGAAAUCUCUCGGCUCAGCCGGGAGGGGUUGUCCGAUACUGCUGGGCUUGAGGGCAGCAGAGGGUGGUGGAAUUCCGGGUGUAGUGGUGAAAUGCGUAGAUAUCCGGAGGAACACCAGUGGCGAAGGCGGCCACCUGGGCUGUACCUGACGCUCAAACACGAAAGCUAGGGGAGCGAACGGG